rnacentral:rRNA from 1 species
GGCAUGCCUUACACAUGCAAGUCGAACGGCAGCAUGAUCUAGCUUGCUAGAUUGAUGGCGAGUGGCGAACGGGUGAGUAAUACAUCGGAACGUGCCCUGUAGUGGGGGAUAACUAGUCGAAAGAUUAGCUAAUACCGCAUGCGACCUGAGGGUGAAAGUGGGGGACCGCAAGGCCUCAUGCUAUAGGAGCGGCCGAUGUCUGAUUAGCUAGUUGGUGGGGUAAAGGCCCACCAAGGCGACGAUCAGUAGCUGGUCUGAGAGGACGAUCAGCCACACUGGGACUGAGACACGGCCCAGACUCCUACGGGAGGCAGCAGUGGGGAAUUUUGGACAAUGGGCGAAAGCCUGAUCCAGCAAUGCCGCGUGUGUGAAGAAGGCCUUCGGGUUGUAAAGCACUUUUGUCCGGAAAGAAAUGGCUCUGGUUAAUACCUGGGGUCGAUGACGGUACCGGAAGAAUAAGGACCGGCUAACUACGUGCCAGCAGCCGCGGUAAUACGUAGGGUCCAAGCGUUAAUCGGAAUUACUGGGCGUAAAGCGUGCGCAGGCGGUUGUGCAAGACCGAUGUGAAAUCCCCGAGCUUAACUUGGGAAUUGCAUUGGUGACUGCACGGCUAGAGUGUGUC